UCCCUGGUAGCUCAGCGGUAGAGCGUUCGACUGUUAAUCGAAAUGUCGUAGGUUCGAAUCCUACCCGGGGAGCCA
rnacentral:tRNA from 3 species